CCCAUGUGUCAUUCUAACUGUGAGAGUGUGUGUGUGUGUCCUGAGGUGUGCGAGUGUGUGUGUGUGUGUCCUGAGGUGCGUGAGAGGUUGUAUGUUUGUCCUGAAGUGUGUGAGAGUUUAUAUAGGUUUCUGAGGUAUGUGAGGGGUUGUGUGUGUCCCUGAGGUGUAUGAGGUGUGUGUGGGUCCUGAGGUGUGUGAGUGGUUGUGUGUGGGUCCCUGAGGUGUGUGAGAGGUUGUGUGUGGGUCCUAAGGUGUGUGAGUGGUUGUGUGUGGGUCCUAAGGUGUGUGAGAGGUUGUGUGUGGGUCCUAAGGUGUGUGAGUGGUUGUGUGUGGGUCCUAAGGUGUGUGAGAGGUUGUGUGAGUCCUGAGGUGUGUGAGAGGAUUGUGUGUGAGUCCUGAGGUGUGUGAGGGGUUAUGUAUGGGCCCCUGAGGUGUGUGAGGGGUUUUAUGUGUGUCCUGAGAAGUGUGAUGAAUUGUGUGGGUCCUGAGGUGUGUGAGGGUUUGUGUAUGAGACCCUGAGGUGUGUCAACAUUGUGUGUGAGACCCUGAGGUGUGUGAGGGGUUGUGUGUGGAUUCCUGAGGUGUGUGAGGGGUUGUGCUUGGGUCCUGGGGUGUGUGAGUGGGUGUUUGUCCUGAGGUGUGUGAGAGGUUGUGUGUGUGUCCUGAGGUGUGUGAGAGUUUGCGUAGGUUCCUGAGGUAUGUGAGGGGUUGUGUGUGUCCUGAGGUGUGUGAGAGGUUGUGUGAGUCCCUGGGGUGUGUGAGAGUUUGUGUAGGUUUCUGAGGUGUGUGAGAGUUUGUGUAGCUUCCUGAGGUGUGUGAGAGGUUGUGUGAGUCCCUGAGGUGCGUGAGGGGUUGUGUGUGUCCUGAAGUGUGUGAGAGG
rnacentral:lncRNA from 1 species